rnacentral:rRNA from 1 species
CAGCCGCCACGGGAAUACGGAGGGUGCAAGCGUUAUCCGGAUUUAUUGGGUUUAAAGGGUCCGUAGGCGGAUCUGUAAGUCAGUGGUGAAAUCUCACAGCUUAACUGUGAAACUGCCAUUGAUACUGCAGGUCUUGAGUAAAUUUGAAGUGGCUGGAAUAAGUAGUGUAGCGGUGAAAUGCAUAGAUAUUACUUAGAACACCAAUUGCGAAGGCAGGUCACUAAGAUUUAACUGACGCUGAUGGACGAAAGCGUGGGGAGCGAACAGGAUUAGAUACCCGCGUAGUCCCUGUCUCUUAUAC